GGAUGUGAAGGCAAUCUGGCUGCGACAUCUGUCACCCCAUUGAUUGCCAGGGUUGAUUCAGCUGAUCUGGCUGACUUCCCCUUCCUGUCCCCUUCCUCCCUCACUGCUCUAUGUGCGUCCCUCCCAAAGCUGCGCGCUCGGUCGAAGAGGACAACCUUCCCUGACAGAGACAGUACCGUUCAUCGGUCAAGGGUAUAUGGUAGCUGUGCUCCCCUGCUAGAACCUCCAAACAAGCUCAGAUCUUACCAUUAAACUUCAAUUGGUGUAUUUUGAUAAGUAUAAUGAAAUUACUAAGACCCUACUGUCUGCAUUGCUCAAGCUUGUG
rnacentral:snRNA from 1 species